rnacentral:rRNA from 1 species
GAUGAACGCUGGCGGCGUGCCUAAUACAUGCAAGUCGAGCGAACGGACGAGAAGCUUGCUUCUCUGAUGUUAGCGGCGGACGGGUGAGUGACACGUGGAUAACCUACCUAUAAGACUGGGAUAACUUCGGGAAACCGUAGCUAAUACCGGAUAAUAUUUUGAACCGCAUGGUUCAAAAGUGAAAGACGGUCUUGCUGUCACUUAUAGAUGGAUCCGCGCUGCAUUAGCUAGCUGGUAAGGUAACGGCUUACCAAGGCAACGAUGCAUAGCCGACCUGAGAGGGUGAUCGGCCACACUGGAACUGAGACACGGUCCAGACUCCUACGGGAGGCAGCAGUAGGGAAUCUUCCGCAAUGGGCGAAAGCCUGACGGAGCAACGCCGCGUGAGUGAUGAAGGUCUUCGGAUCGUAAAACUCUGUUAUUAGGGAAGAACAUAUGUGUAAGUAACUGUGCACAUCUUGACGGUACCUAAUCAGAAAGCCACGGCUAACUACGUG